rnacentral:rRNA from 1 species
UACGUAGGGUGCAAGCGUUGUCCGGAAUUAUUGGGCGUAAAGAGCUCGUAGGCGGUCUGUCGCGUCGGCUGUGAAAACCCGGGGCUCAACCCCGGGCCUGCAGUCGAUACGGGCAGACUAGAGUGCGGUAGGGGAGACUGGAAUUCUGGUGUAGCGGUGAAAUGCGUAGAGAUCGGAAAGAACACCAACGGCGAAAGCACUCUGCUGGGCCGACACUGACACUGAGAGACGAAAGCUAGGGGAGCGAAUGGG